GUUCAGCAUAAAAGAGCUCAGCGCAGAAAGUCGUCUCGUAGUGUUGACAUCUCGUCACGCCGAAAAACGAAGGAUUCUUCUAUAUAAUCAUAAAAGGCGCUCUGAUCAAAGCCCGGAAACAUGCUCGUGAAAGGACUGUGUGUUGUCUGGGUUUUGUGGCUUUUGCAUACGGAGGUGACAAGUUACGGCCGCGUCAAAUUUGUAAGCAUUAAGGUCAACACCAGUGGCCGGAACUGUGUAUAUGAGGACCAAAAUUUUACUGACGAAGUGGAUAUGAACGACACCUGUCGAAAGCUAACAUGCUAUCCACAUGACAACGAAGU